rnacentral:rRNA from 1 species
AUUGAACGCUGGCGGCAGGCCUAACACAUGCAAGUCGAGCGGAUGAUGGGAGCUUGCUCCUGGAUUCAGCGGCGGACGGGUGAGUAAUGCCUAGGAAUCUGCCUGGUAGUGGGGGAUAACGUCCGGAAACGGGCGCUAAUACCGCAUACGUCCUGAGGGAGAAAGUGGGGGAUCUUCGGACCUCACGCUAUCAGAUGAGCCUAGGUCGGAUUAGCUAGUUGGUGGGGUAAAGGCCUACCAAGGCAACGAUCCGUAACUGGUCUGAGAGGAUGAUCAGUCACACUGGAACUGAGACACGGUCCAGACUCCUACGGGAGGGAGCAGUGGGGAAUAUUGGACAAUGGGCGAAAGCCUGAUCCAGCCAUGCCGCGUGUGUGAAGAAGGUCUUCGGAUUGUAAAGCACUUUAAGUUGGGAGGAAGGGCAGUAAGUUAAUACCUUGCUGUUUUGACGUUACCAACAGAAUAAGCACCGGCUAACUUCGUG